GAGAUGGAUUCUGAGACACGAAUCCAGACCCUACGGGGUGCAGCAGGCGCGAAAACUUGGCAAUGCGAGCAAUCGUGACCAGGGAACUCCAAGUGCGUAGGGUAAGACCUACGCUUUUCUUGACUCUUCAAAGGUCUUGGAAUAAGGGGUGGGUAAGGACGGUGCCAGCCGCCGCGGUAAUACCGGCGCCUCAAGUGGUAGUCGCUUUUAUUGGGCCUAAAACGUCCGUAGCCGGUCUGGUACAUUCGUGGGUAAAUCAACCCGCUCAACGGGUUGAAUUCUGCGAGCACGGCCAGACUUGGGACCGGGAGAGGUGUGGGGUACUCUCAGGGUAGGGGUAAAAUCCUGUCAUCCUGAGAGGACCACCUGUUGCGAAGGCGCCACACUAGAACGGAUCCGACGGUCAGGGACGAAACCUAGGGGCACGAACCGGAUUAGAUACCCGGGUAGUCCUAGGUGUAAACGCUGUGGACUUGAUGUUGGGGGCGCUCCGAGCGCUCUCAGUGUCGAAGCGAAGGUGAUAAGUCCACUGCCUGGGGAGUACGGUCGCAAGGCUGAACUUAAGGAAUUGGCGGGGAGCACCGCAACCUGAGGAUUGUGCGGUUUAAUUGGAUUCAACGCCGGAAAACUCACCAGUGCCGACGGACAGAUGAAAGCCAGUGUGAUGAGCUUGCUGGAUUGUUCGAGAGGUAGUGCAUGGCCGCCGUCAGUUCGUACCGUAAGGCGUUCUGUUAAGUCAGAUAACGAACGAGACCCUCAUCCCUAUUUGCUAAGGUUUCUCCCUUCGGGGCGAGAUCACAGGACUAUAGGGAGACCGCUGGCGAGAAGUCAGAGGAAGGUGAGGGCAACGGUAGGUCAGUAUGCUCCGAAUGCACUGGGCUACACGCGCAAUACAAAGGACGGGACAAUGGGCCGCUGCUCCGAGAGGAAAGAUGGCUAUCCCGAAACCCGUUCGUAGUUCGGAUUGAGGGCUGUAACUCGCCCUCAUGAAGCUGGAUUAGGUAGUAAUCGCGUCUCAAUAGGGCGCGGUGAAUAUGCCCCUGCUCCUUGCACACACCGCCCGUCAAACCAUCGUUAGUUGGGGGUGGGUGAGGCUGCCCAUGAAAUAUGGGGUAUUCGAGCCUGCCUUCGACAAGGAGGGUUAAGUCGUAACAAGGUAUCUGUAGGGGAACCUGCAGAUG
rnacentral:rRNA from 1 species